rnacentral:rRNA from 1 species
UACGGAGGGUGCAAGCGUUAAUCGGAAUUACUGGGCGUAAAGCGCGCGCAGGCGGUUUGUUAAGUCUGUUGUGAAAUCCCCGAGCUCAACUUGGGAAUUGCAAUGGAUACUGGCAGGCUGGAGUAUGGUAGAGGAAGGUGGAAUUCCCGGUGUAGCAGUGAAAUGCGUAGAGAUCGGGAGGAACACCAGUGGCGAAGGCGGCCUUCUGGACCAAUACUGACGCUCAUGCACGAAAGCGUGGGGAGCAAACAGG